AACGAACGCUGGCGGCAGGCCUAACACAUGCAAGUCGAGCGAACCCUUCGGGGUUAGCGGCGGACGGGUUAGUAACGCGUGGGAAUAUACCCUUUGGUACGGAAUAGCCUCGGGAAACUGAGAGUAAUACCGUAUGUGCCCUUCGGGGGAAAGAUUUAUCGCCAAAGGAUUAGCCCGCGUUGGAUUAGAUAGUUGGUGGGGUAAUGGCCUACCAAGUCUACGAUCCAUAGCUGGUUUGAGAGGAUGAUCAGCAACACUGGGACUGAGACACGGCCCAGACUCCUACGGGAGGCAGCAGUGGGGAAUCUUAGACAAUGGGCGCAAGCCUGAUCUAGCCAUGCCGCGUGGACGAUGAAGGCCUUAGGGUUGUAAAGUCCUUUCAGAUGGGAAGAUAAUGACGGUACCAUCAGAAGAAGCCCCGGCUAACUCCGUGCCAGCAGCCGCGGUAAAGU
rnacentral:rRNA from 1 species